AAUAUUGGACAAUGGGCGCAAGCCUGAUCCAGCCAUGCCGCGUGAGUGAUGAAGGCCUUAGGGUUGUAAAGCUCUUUCCGUGGGGAAGAUAAUGACGGUACCCACAGAAGAAGCCCCGGCUAACUUCGUGCCAGCAGCCGCGGUAAUACGAAGGGGGCUAGCGUUGUUCGGAUUUACGGGGCGUAAAGCGCACGUAGGCGGAUUGGUGAGUGAGGGGUGAAAUCCCGAAGCUCAACUCCGAAACUGCCUUUAAUACUGCCAGUCUAGAGACCGAAGGAGGUGAGUGGAACUCCUAGUGUAGAGGUGGAAUUCGUAGAUAUUAGGAAGAACACCAGUGGCGAAGGCGGCUCACUGGCUCGGUACUGACGCUGAGGUGCGAAAGCGUGGGGAGCAAACA
rnacentral:rRNA from 1 species